GAUGAACGCUAGCGGCGUGCCUAAUACAUGCAAGUCGAGCGAACAGACGAGGAGCUUGCUCCUCUGACGUUAGCGGCGGACGGGUGUGUCACACGUGGAUCACCCACCUAACAGACUGGGAUCACUUCGAGAAACCGAAUCACCUACCAGAUAAUAUAUUGAACCGCAUGGUUCAAUAUUGAAACACGAUUUUUCUGUCAUUUAUAGAUGGAUCCGCGCCGCAUUAGCUAGUUGGUAACGUAACGGCUUACCAAGCCGACGAUGCGUGGCCGACCGGAGAGGUGGGUCGGCGGCACGGGAACGUGGCAAUGGGCUAGGGUCCAAAGGGAGGCAGCAGGAGGGAGUCGUCCACAAUGGGCGAAAGUCGGAAGGAGCAACCACGCGUGAGGGAUGAAGGAAGUCGGAUCGUAAAGUCCUGAUAUUAGUGAAGAACAAAAGUGUAUGUAACUAUGCACGGAUUGACGGUACCAGAUCAAAAAGCCACGGCUAACUACGUG
rnacentral:rRNA from 1 species